AGCGAACACUGGCGGCAGGCCUAACACAUGCAAGUCGAACGAAGCCUUCGGGCUUAGUGGCGGACGGGUGAGUAACACGUGGGAACGUACCUUUUGGUUCGGAACAACUCAGGGAAACUUGAGCUAAUACCGGACGGGCCCUUAGGGGGAAAGAUUUAUCGCCGAAAGAGCGGCCCGCGUUAGAUUAGCUAGUUGGUGAGGUAAAGGCUCACCAAGGCAACGAUCUAUAGCUGGUCUGAGAGGAUGAUCAGCCACACUGGGACUGAGACACGGCCCAGACUCCUACGGGAGGCAGCAGUGGGGAAUCUUGCGCAAUGGGCGAAAGCCUGACGCAGCCAUGCCGCGUGAAUGAUGAAGGUCUUAGGAUUGUAAAAUUCUUUUACCAGGGACGAUAAUGACGGUACCUGGAGAAAAAGCCCCGGCUAACUUCGUGCCAGCCGCCGCCGUAAAAC
rnacentral:rRNA from 1 species